UCACUCCCGAUGGAUACAGUCUGAUGCAUUGUGCUGAGGAGCGUGACAUUCUUUCUCGGUUUGCCCUGGUACACUGUAAGAGUGGCUCGCUCAAUGCUUGAGCACUUUGGUGGAGAACAUUUCUCCUCUCUGCUGCUGGACUGAAGGAAGAAGCUCAUGUCUGGCCUUGUUGACAGUGCCAACCAGGCUGGUGUUCUUCAUCAGCAGUUUCUUGGAGAGGGUGAGGGAUGUGAAAAAGUUGUCAGUGGUUACAUUUCUUCCCUUUCCCACAUGUGGCUUCACCAGCUUCAUGACCACACUCCCAAACGCUGAUGUGUCGGGCACAUUUUUUCUUUGCCCAGGUAUGGGAAGCCAUUCAGGUACUUGGUCUCUCUGUAGCUAACCAGAAUUUUAUGCCAAAUUUGUGGCUUGCUUGCCAUAUAUUUUGUAUAGCAGCACUGUGCUUUGGUGGGGAACUGCUGCUCGUCUACAGUCAUGUUCACCCCAGGCCUGUAGUAGGCAAUGCUGUUGGCGACAAAUCCAUUACACACAUCUGACGGAUGCCUGUUGUCCUUCUUGUCAAAGGGCAGGUAGAGCAUAAUAUCCCUGUAGUGGUUCCUUGGCAUCUUCACAUUGAAGAAGGCCAGCCCCCAUUCCUCAGACCAAUAAAUAAACUCCUCUUACAAACAUCACGGCAAUGAAGGCCUUUAGCUCAGCAAUGGAAAGAUCCCACGAACUGCCCUCUUCAACACAAUGCUCCUCUGCCAUGCUGCUGUCCUAUAUAUGCUGCAGCAUUUGCCUGUCCAGCAAACACAAGAAAGUGCUCAGAGCAUCUUCAAUAUUGCACUUGCGCUGUGGGGCCCCCGAAUUCCGUUGUGUGACUGCUGUGUCCCCGAGUGUCCUCCAGGCUGGAUGGCUUCCUAGAUGGUUCCAUCUUUCCCCUGCUCACACGGGCUCAGGACUGCAAAACAUAAAAAAAUUGCAUAUGGAGAUUAAUAUGUAUCUGUUCUAAAAUCCCUAAAAUCACAGCCCAAAGUGGCAUUGCUUUUAUAAAACGGUUACUAUAGACUACCUAGUAAUAUUUCAAAGAAUAAACACAUAGGAACAUAAAAUGGGCUGAUUUAUUGAUAACAAAUCAUUCUUCCAUCAAGUAAUAUAGUUCCUCAAGACAGCAGAACGGCUACCCAGCAACACAGGCUAGAAUGUAUACAUGCUAAUCAGGCUUUAGAUAUUUACUUCAAAUAAAUAUUUUCGUUUUCAGAGAUGGGUCUAUACAUGUUUGUGUAACCUACUUUGGUAGACAACAGACUUACCUGCAUCUGGAGAUGGUGUGCACACUCUCAUGUCACUAGCUUCCGGUUAUCGCACUGUUGAGAUUUAUUACAUUGUUAUUUUUUAUGAACUUUUUAUGAAAAAUUUUUAGAACACAGCCUUGUUUAUUGCCUGUUGGUGUUUGAUUUUGAUAUAUAACAAAAAUAGCCAUAAGUGGUUUGUUCUACCUGGAGAUGAGAUACGAGCAUUCACAGAGACCAGUGUGGUUUGAGCACUGGACUGGACAGCAGCCGGCAGCACUUGAGCAUCUGGUAGUCGAACUGUUGAGAUUUAUAAGGCUAUAUUAUAAUUCCCUAUUCAUCAUCUGUUUAUAGCCUAUACUAGUUACAUCAUCUAGUUUGUAUUUACAAAAUAUAGGCUAGCUGGUUCAUAUUGAAGUGGCUGCAUCUAUGCUUUAUCCCACAUGAAAUAAUUCAUAAAAUUAAUUAAAAAUUAACCAGAAAAAACUAAUAAAGUAAUAAAAACAAAUGAACAAAAUUAAUAACCAUGUCUACCUGGAGUGGACACGCCAACACAUGGGGCAGCUGGCACAACUUUUCUUUUUUUGGCAUGGGGGUUAAGGCUCGGGAGUCUGAACUCUCCUCCUCACUCCAAUCCACAUUACUAGAGUCUGAAACUUCUCCACCAUCAGACUCCCCCUCGCUUAGUUCCUGUAACACUGCCAAAGCCUUCAACAGUAUAUCUUUUUCUUGUUCUUCCUCUCUCCAUCUUAUGAUCAUUGCUUUCCAAGUUUUAUGCUAGUGUGUAAAUCUGUGCGUAAAGUGGCUUCGGAAAACAUCAAAAACACAUUUAUUUAAAGUUGUGGGCUGAAAUGCUUGUAGUUUUAAGUUAUUUGCAUUAUAGAAAUCCAAACGGUCUGUCAGACUGUCUUGGCGGUGCUAGUGUAACAAGCUCUCUGAUUGUUUAGAGAGCUGCACACACCGCUUACCAGUUGGUAGCCUUGACUCUGCCUUAGCUCAAUGUGCGGUAGUAGGUGGUAGUGAGUCUGAGCAGUUGUCUUUUUUGGGUAGUUUUACAUUACACUUCACCAUUUUACAUCAUGACGAAUAAUUGUGUUUGUGCAGAUUGCUCAACACCGUUUCCUAACAGAAAACGCUUGCUAGCUAGCAAGCUUUGGUGCCCGGUGGGUGUUGCAGGUGAAGCUACAGAACUUAACUGCUGCAUCUGUAACGAUAACCGUGGCCGUGUUCAUUUUAGAUAGGAGGAUUAUGUUCCUGGUGAUAUGAUGGAGUUCAGGACAACGAAGCCAGGACCGUGUGAGACUGACAGCUGCUGCGGUUACUCCAGUACACACAGCUGCUUCAUCAGGUCCACCGUCAGCAGGCGGCUGGUAACAUUACGGCCACCGACGGAAAACAUGAACUGUGCACCAUGUGGGUACAAAAAGGAUCGAAUGCAGGUAUCGUUUGACUGGAGAUGUUUCGAUACUACUUGGUACUGGGUUAUUUCGGUCAGUACCUUAAAGUUAUCGACCCAGAGCAAGAGGCCUUCUCUCCAUUAGCUCCUCAACCACCAUCUGUGCUUCACUGUGGCUCACAGUGUGACUUCAAACUUUCUAUCAGGUCUACAUAAAACUUUGGAUACUGCUGCAAAGGAGAGGGAGGACCUGAAGUUGUGGAGGCCAGCCAUUAUUCACCACCUGUACUGGGCUGUAGUUUCCACUCUAAUGCAGAUCCAGAUGUGAUGUGAACCAUGUUCACAACAUCCAUGCUGGAACCAGCAUAUGCAUCGGCCCUCAUGGAGUCUCUGACGGAGGGAUACUCCAGGUCACCAAAGGCUCUACGAGAGAGAAGUGCUGUCUUGCCCUCUAUUGCAUCUAACCCCCCUUUCCGGAUACUGCUAAAAGAUAUAGACAUAUUCCAUUAUAUCGGCUGUUCAAAGAAUUGAGUGAAUAGUUUUUUUGUUGCUUUGUUUUUAAAAGUUUUCUCAACAUCAACAGCAAGAGAGCAUUUUGAACAUUUUCACUGUUUACUUAUUUACUGCUUAUUUUACUUUGUUGAAAAAUGGUCUGUAUGUAUUUUGAUGUAGAGCCAGAUGCUAAUUAAAACAUUUUCUAUUAAUAAAAUAUUGAGGAUUGAUCAGCUUUAGUUGUUGAGUGCUUUCUAGUUUUAAAUGGGUCAAUUGGUAUUUUUUUCUUUUGACCAUUUACAUUUGGUACAUCCACAUACAUAUUUUAAAAACUUCAAAUCUUGUGUUUUGGUGGUGGGGUUAACUCUUAGUUUACGUUUGUAUUGAAUGUGCUUUAUUGUCUUAACUGCAAUACAUUAAUAGUUUAUUAUUAUUUAUAUGGGACAUGUUUGUUAUUAGUCUUGCUGCUGCAGCAUGCAGGCCUAACCACUAAUGCAGUAUCUGUUCAGUGUAUAUAUGAUCUUAACUGCAGAAAAUUUUCUGCUGUGUGCUCUAAGAGAAAAGUAGACAGUGAAAACACAGCUUUUGGGCUACUUCCCAGGGCAGUUCAAAAUCAGUAUGUCUCAUUUAAGCACAAAUCUUUUGAGCAAAUAUACCCACUCAAAUGAUCGAACUGAAGGCACAGAAAAUAAACGAUCUGAGAGCCCAAUAUGAUCGAUCCACUUUAUUUUCGGAUGCAUUUUUUCAAAAGCUCUCUGUUAUGUAUUGUAUUUUUAA